UACGGGGGGGGCAAGCGUUGUUCGGAAUUACUGGGCGUAAAGGGCUCGUAGGCGGCCAACUCAGUCAGACGUGAAAUCCCUCGGCUUAACCGGGGAACUGCGUCUGAUACUGGAUGGCUUGAGUUUGGGAGAGGGAUGCGGAAUUCCAGGUGUAGCGGUGAAAUGCGUAGAUAUCUGGAGGAACACCGGUGGCGAAGGCGGCAUCCUGGACCAACACUGACGCUGAGUGAGCGAAAGCCAGGGGAGCAAACGGG
rnacentral:rRNA from 1 species